CGCUGGCCCAUUAUGACGUUUAGAAGUGCGGGUACUGUGACGUCAGCCUGUAAAAGUGAUCACGUGUGGACAAUUUCAUAGUUUUGACAAGACUAUAACUAAGGAUACGUCUGACAGACAUGGAGGGGAAGUUCAACAAAAAAUCAAUUUCAACUACUGGGCUUGAUGAAGACCCCUGGGAUGAAGGUGGCAGCCCCAGCAAGGAUGGAAGUAGGGCUGCUCCUCAGAUGAAGGAAACCGCAAUGACAGAUGACACAGAUGACACAAAUGACACAGACCAAGACCUUGAGAAGCUAAUGGACGAAAUUGAGAGGACUUAUGGCCAACCUGCCCCGCUGUCCGAACCUGACAGCAAUGACCAUGAGAACAGAAAGCAAGAAUAUCCAAGCAACUGCUCUAGACCAGAAAGCAAGGGCAACAGCACUGAGGCUGACCACAUAGGAGAGGAUGACACUGAAGGACUGGUCAGUGCUGAAGCUUAG
rnacentral:lncRNA from 1 species